UACAGAGGUCUCAAGCGUUGUUCGGAUUCAUUGGGCGUAAAGGGUGCGUAGGUGGCGCCGUAAGUCAGGUGUGAAAUUUCGGAGCUUAACUCCGAAACUGCAUUUGAUACUGCGGUGCUUGAGGACUGGAGAGGAGACUGGAAUUUACGGUGUAGCAGUGAAAUGCGUAGAGAUCGUAAGGAAGACCAGUGGCGAAGGCGGGUCUCUGGGCCGAUACUGACGCUGAGGAGCGAAAGCGUGGGGAGCGAACAGG
rnacentral:rRNA from 1 species